AGCGAACGCUGGCGGCAGGCUUAACACAUGCAAGUCGAGCGGGCAUCCUUGUGGUGUCAGCGGCAGACGGGUGAGUAACGCGUGGGAACGUGCCCUUCGGUUCGGAAUAACUCAGGGAAACUUGAGCUAAUACCGGAUACGUGCGAGAGCAGAAAGGUUUAUCUGCCGAAGGAUCGGCCCGCGUCUGAUUAGCUAGUUGGUGAGGUUACGGCUCACCAAGGCGACGAUCAGUAGCUGGUCUGAGAGGAUGAUCAGCCACACUGGGACUGAGACACGGCCCAGACUCCUACGGGAGGCAGCAGUGGGGAAUAUUUGACAAUGGGGGCAACCCUGAUCCAGCCAUGCCGCGUGAGUGAUGACGGCCUUAGGGUUGUAAAGCUCUUUUCUCCGGGACGAUAAUGACGGUACCGGAGGAAUAAGCCCCGGCUAACUUCGUG
rnacentral:rRNA from 1 species